UACGGGGGGGGCAAGCGUUGUUCGGAAUUACUGGGCGUAAAGGGCUUGUAGGUGGCCAACUAAGUCAGACGUGAAAUCCCUCGGCUUAACCGGGGAACUGCGUCUGAUACUGGAUGGCUUGAGUUUGGGAGAGGGAUGCGGAAUUCCAGGUGUAGCGGUGAAAUGCGUAGAUAUCGUAAGGAAGACCAGUGGCGAAGGCGGGUCUCUGGACAGUUCCUGACGCUGAGGCACGAAGGCCAGGGGAGCAAACGGG
rnacentral:rRNA from 1 species